UACGAAGGUCCCAAGCGUUAUCCGGAUUUAUUGGGUUUAAAGGGUGCGUAGGCGGGUUAUUAAGUCAGUGGUGAAAGCUCCAUGCCUAACAUGGAAAUUGCCAUUGAUACUGAUGAUCUUGAGUACAUUUGAAGUGGGCGGAAUGUGUCAUGUAGUGGUGAUAUACUUAGAUAUGACACAGAACACCGAUUGCGUAGGCAGCUCACUAAACUGUAACUGACGCUGAGGCACGAAGGCGUGGGGAGCAAACAGG
rnacentral:rRNA from 1 species